UACGUAGGGGGCUAGCGUUGUCCGGAUUUAUUGGGCGUAAAGAGCGUGUAGGCGGCCAGGUAGGUCCGGUGUGAAAACUCGAGGCUUAACCUCGAGAUGUCAUCGGAAACCAUCUGGCUAGAGUCCGGAAGAGGAGAGUGGAAUUCCUGGUGUAGCGGUGAAAUGCGCAGAUAUCGGGAAGAACACCCGUGGCGAAGGCGGUUCUCUGGGACGGUACUGACGCUGAGACGCGAAAGCGUGGGGAGCGAACAGG
rnacentral:rRNA from 1 species